AAUCCAUGAUGUGGGCAUCUUUGUAUUUGCAUUUUAAAAUGCUUCCAAGCUUUGAGAAAGCUUUCUCAUUCUAACUGUUUAAAUGCUGCGAUUUCCCUCCUCAAUU
rfam:Gossypium hirsutum cultivar TM-1 chromosome 9, whole genome shotgun sequence